CUUCCCUUGUUGAAUUUCUUUAAAGUUUUAUUAUGAAAUUGAAAUUGGGUUUAUUUUGUUUAUUAAACCGUGUUCCAUGUUGAGUAAAAUACAGAUCUUAACAAAAUACAUUGAUAAACAAGAACAAAUUAUUUGAAGGAGAUCUGUAAAGUUGAUCAGUUAAAAUGCCUAUGGAGGACAAACACAAUAUUCCAGAUAGUCAAAAAAAUACUUUGGCAGAAUUACUUCCAGCAGACCCAACGCCUCCAGAGAUGCCGAUAAUAGCUUCCCAUCCUUUCGAUGAUAAACCUCCGAGUGCUGGCCCACCAUCAUCCGUACCCACCAGCAGUCCCAUGGGCCAUCGGCCAGGCAUGGGUCAAAAUACAAUGGCUGGUAAAGUUUACCCUCCGAAUCAACCAAUGGUAUUCAAUCCAUCCAACCCAAACGCUCCUCCAAUAUACCCGUGUGGAAUAUGUCAUAAAGAAGUCCAUGAAAAUGAUCACGCCAUAUUAUGCGAGAGUGGUUGUA